CCUCUCAGCGCCAAACCCUAGCUCGCCCUCCUCCUCCUUCCUCACGCCGCCGCCACUCCCUUUCUCUUCUUCCUCCACCUUCGUUCCCUCUACGAAAGGAAACAGAGACAUAGACAUAAGAAAACCCCACUGGCACCACCGUCCUCACCAUGGCGUCAUCGCUGUAGACCAUCCCUAGUCGACCCGAGAUCACCAGUAGAACCGCCUCGAUCUCCUCCAUCUCCUGCUGCAAGGAAUCGAACCAGGAAGCCCUCAAUCAAGCACAAGGUCGCCGAUUCCCCGCGCAGACUGUCACCUUUCUUCUCCAAUCCCGGCCGGUCCGGACCUCCCCUGGCUUCCCCGACCUCUCCAUUAGCUUCACGGAACACGUCGCCGACGAUGCUCCGGUGGGUUUCCGGCACCACGACGACCACCAUCAUGUUCACCGCGCCGAGGCGUACCUCCGACGCCUUCUCGUCCUUCCCAAUUCGCCCGGAAGCUCCAGAUCUGUCUUCGAUUAGAUCUCUCCACCAUGGCUGCAAUUUGCAAGUUCGUCUCUGCCUUCCGCGUGCUCUUCUUGACGCGCACCAGCAUCUCGACAUCAAUAGUAGAUCUUCCGCACAUGGGCCUCAGCCCACGCGCGCGUCAGCUUCUUCGUCGCCCAGCGUGCAGCAUCCUGCUAUCCGUCGCCGUUUCGGCCAGGAUCGCGAAGUGGUGUUGUGAGGUACGGCAAGAUCUCCGGGUGUCCCUCGACAAGCUUUAACAGGCAAGCAUUUCCUCUAUACUCCUGUCCCUGCAGGAGUCGCUCACCUAUUUUAUUUUGCCUUCUCCCUCAUGCUAUCCUUAAGUUGCGUUCUUGUCACGUGUCCUUUCCACUUGUUACCUCAAGCAGCCCAUAUUGCCACCACCACCUCCUACGGCUAUUGUUUGGUUAUCGAGUCUGCCUUGCGAGUCGUAGUGCAUGCUAGUGCUGUUUUAUCUCGUUACUGUUGUUGUUAUCUUAUCGGGUUAUAUGUUGGGAAUAAUCAUGGUUACUUUAGUUGUUGACAUUUGUUUAGCGGAGGCAUCGGUGGGUCAGCUGCUCGUUUUGUGACGGCUCACUUGUGUUUCCUUAAUAUCUUAGGACCCCGAGUUCUUGUUAUCUGUUCCGAGACUGAGCGCUCUAACCACACGUGGGUAUGUUUACCGGGUCUUCCCUCGACCACUGCCGGAAUCUACAGCCUUGUCCAGUGGCCACAAUUAGUUUGGAUGUCUGUUUGUUUCUCCCGGGCGUGCAAGCAUGUUUCUUUGUGGUCAGAUGAUAUGAUGUUACUUUUGGGGAAGCUAUGUGCCUUGUAACCCCGUUGUCUCUUGCACGCUCGUAGGUUGCGGAGCCGCUGCGAAGUGGUCAUCCCGCUGGGCACUGAUCACCUAGUACGCUGACGCAAUAGCUGAGUCCGCUUCGGAGCACGGCCGGACUCUGAAACGGGUUAAACUUAGUUAGGUGGCUUCCUGGACAUUGUUGUAGUGAAGGAGAGUGCGUGUCGUGAUAUCCACCUGUCGUAAGUGGGUUGAUCGUGCGUGUGGGCACAUUUGGGCACCCCUGCAGGGUUACAAUCUUAUCGAUAAGCCGCGUCCGCGGUUAUGGACGACUUGGAGCUGUAUGACUCGAUCAUAGACAACUUGCACCUGUUGUUUCAAUCAUAAUAACUUGUGUAGUAAGUUAGCACAACUUCAAUAAUAAAUGGUUAAAACUUGACAACCGUGUGAGUGCCUUUGUAAGUAUUUCUUUGCGAAGGGGGAAAGCAUCGGCUGUGUUAUGCUUGCAGAGUAUAGAACUGUUAGUUGUUCGCUCUCUCAUCUCCUCUGAUUAGACGAAUGUUGUAGAGUGUCUCUAUAGGUUUUUAGUGCUUGCGCGCUGCCGCUUAACCCCACCAUAUUGCCUAUGACGUUCCUCUUGCGUCCUCUAAGUCCCCUGCGUGCCUCAAGUACAAAGGACGACUAGUUGACGAAUGCUUAUACGUCUUGAAGUCUUGUUAAGUACGAACCCGUACUUAUUGCUGCUUCUACGGGAUAUAACCGGGCAGGUAUGAAGAUAUGUUCAAUGAAGAUGACGUUAGCAAGGUUACCCUUCCGGCUUGGCCUGGGCAGGGUUAUGGACGCCAAUGGUUAUCUUCAGGACUCUUAGUCCAACUUGUAUCUUGUCCGUACUCGGACGUAUUCUAUCUUCUGUAUGAUUUGGAUCUUUGUAUUGUAUAUUUGUAUCUUGACUCGUUGGAGUCGUUGUUGUAAUAUAUGUAUCUUGUGGGCUAUAUUGUAAACCUGUUGUAAUGUUA